rfam:Clunio marinus genome assembly, contig: CLTMA_scaffold_004773
GCUUCCGUAGCGAAAAGGAUAUCGCGUCUGCCUCCUAAGCAGAAGAUUGCGGGUUCGAGUCCCGUCGGAAGUA